rnacentral:rRNA from 1 species
GAUGAACGCUGGCGGCGUGCUUAACACAUGCCAGUCGAACGAAGCAUUUAAGACAGAUUACUUCGGUUUGAAGUCUUUUAUGACUGAGUGGCGGACGGGUGAGUAACGCGUGGGUAACCUGCCUCAUACAGGGGGAUAGCAGCUGGAAACGGCUGGUAAUACCGCAUAAGCGCACAGUACCACAUGGUACAGUGUGAAAAACUCCGGUGGUAUGAGAUGGACCCGCGUCUGAUUAGCUUGUUGGCGGGGUAACGGCCCACCAAGGCGACGAUCAGUAGCCGACCUGAGAGGGUGACCGGCCACAUUGGGACUGAGACACGGCCCAGACUCCUACGGGAGGCAGCAGUGGGGAAUAUUGCACAAUGGAGGAAACUCUGAUGCAGCGACGCCGCGUGAGUGAAGAAGUAGUUCGCUAUGUAAAGCUCUAUCAGCAGGGAAGAUAGUGACGGUACCCGACUAAGAAGCUCCGGCUAAAUACGUG